rnacentral:rRNA from 1 species
UACGUAGGGUGCGAGCGUUGUCCGGAAUUAUUGGGCGUAAAGGGCUCGUAGGCGGUUUGUCACGUCGGGAGUGAAAACUCGGGGCUUAACCCCGAGCCUGCUUCCGAUACGGGCUGACUAGAGGUAUGCAGGGGAGAACGGAAUUCCUGGUGUAGCGGUGAAAUGCGCAGAUAUCAGGAGGAACACCGGUGGCGAAGGCGGUUCUCUGGGCAUUACCUGACACUGAGGAGCGAAAGUGUGGGGAGCGAACAGG